GAGACUCUGUGCGCGUGCAUAUCAAUAAGCGGAGGAAAAGAAACUAACAAGGAUUCCCUUAGUAACGGCGAGUGAAGCGGGAAGAGCUCAAAUUUGAAAUCUUCAAGGUUCUACCUUGACGAAUUGUAGUUUAUAGAAGUGUUUUCUGUUAGUGAGUUUGGCUAAAAGUUCUUUGGAAUAGGACAUCAUAGAGGGUGAGAAUCCCGUAUUUGGUCAUUCCUUCCUAGCGUUGUGAUACACUUUCAACGAGUCGGAUUGUUUGGGAAUGCAGUCCAAAAUGGGUGGUAAAUUUCAUCUAAAGCUAAAUAUUGGCGAGAGACCGAUAGCGAACAAGUACCGUGAGGGAAAGAUGAAAAGAACUUUGAAAAGAGAGUUAAACAGUACGUGAAAUUGUCAAAAGGGAAGCGUUUGACACCAGUGUUGUUUUUCCGAAAAUCAAUUACGAAUGUUUUAUUUUUGAGAAGUUAUGACUUCAUCGGCUUGCUUCUCUCUUUACGAAACUUUCUUAAUGCACUUUUCGGUUAACAAGUCAACAUCAAUUUCUUUUGUUGUAAAAGGGUAUGAGGAAGGUGGCCUUCUUUUCGGAGAAAGUGUUUAUAGCCUUGUACCUCUGCAAUCGGAGAGAUUGAGGUCUGCAGCGUAGAUCCUUCGGGGUUAGAUACAGUUUGUGCUAAGUUAUAGCUUUUCAUAGACAACUUGUUGACUAUGUUAAGUCUUGUAGCUUACUCGCUGAUGCUAUUUUACCUACGCUUAGGAUGUUGAUCUGUAGUGCGUGCGC
rnacentral:rRNA from 1 species